CCUACGUGAGGCAGCAGUGAGGAAUAUUGGUCAAUGGGCGCGAGCCUGAACCAGCCAAGUAGCGUGAAGGAUGACUGCCCUACGGGUUGUAAACUUCUUUUAUAAAGGAAUAAAGUGAGGCACGUGUGCCUUUUUGUAUGUACUUUAUGAAUAAGGAUCGGCUAACUCCGUGCCAGCAGCCGCGGGAAUACGGAGGAUCCGAGCGUUAUCCGGAUUUAUUGGGUUUAAAGGGAGCGUAGGUGGGUUGUUAAGUCAGUUGUGAAAGUUUGCGGCUCAACCGUAAAAUUGCAAUUGAUACUGGCAGUCUUGAGUACAGUUGAGGUAGGCGGAAUUCGUGGUGGAGCGGUGAAAUGCUUAGAUAUCACGAAGAACUCCGAUUGCGAAGGCAGCUUACUAACCUGCCACUGACAUUGAUGCUCGAAAGUGUGGGUAUCAAACAGGAUUAGAUACCCGGGUAGUC
rnacentral:rRNA from 1 species